GAAAUGCGAUAAGUAAUGUGAAUUGCAGAAUUCCGUGAAUCAUCGAAUCUUUGAACGCAUAUUGCGCUCCCCGGUAAUCCGAGGAGCAUGCCUGUUUGAGGAGUCUUGUCAACCAUCCUAGCCUCUGCUCUGGCCGUACGGCCGGUUGCAUCGGCUAGAACUCUUCAUUGAAAUGGACAAGAUUUAUUUGAGCUUCUUUCCGGCGCAAGUUGGAUAGCUCUAAAUGCAAAUAAACCAAUACUCCUAGGAUUUCGCCGUUUUCCACGGUCGAGCCCCAUCCACAAGGAGACUUGGGAACUUUCGCGACCUGCACUUGUGCAGGAGCAUGAGCAGAUCGA
rnacentral:misc_RNA from 1 species